GGGCUGAACGGAGACGUGGUUUAAUUUCCCUUCUCAGAAGAUUCUUUGAUUUACAAAAGGUAGCCUCACAGGAUUUGUGUAAACAUCAGGCCAAGUGUCUUUAAUUCAACCUAAUCAUCUCCAAGGCAACGGAGAAGAUCACGGAUUUCCCGGCUGGCUUACCUGCGGGCGGCUGUGGGGCUGACACCGCCCCGCCACACGGGGGAGCUGCCGCGCUUCGGGGGCGCAGGGGACGCUGGGAGCGGCUGUUCAGAGAGGAGCCUGGGAGCCGUGGCCAGCGAAGGAGCGUGGGCUUCUCUGGGCCAGAGGCUGCGUCUUCGAGCUCCGUAGUCUUCGGGAAGAAUGAGGACAGAUCUCUUCUGGGGACAGUUGGUCCUAGCGGAGAUGUGGUGAUGAUAUCAUUUGCAAAAUAACGUAGUGGAAAUAAACCUGCUAAUUUACAUUCCUUAAAACGUAAG
rnacentral:lncRNA from 1 species